GUUAGAUUUAUUAUUAUUAGAAAUUAUCAAAUUCUUUUAAAAAUCAAUAAAAAACAUCAAAUAUAUUCGUGUAUAUAUUAUAAGUUGGCAGUUCUAAUGUUGUUGAAAUUAGAUAAAUUAGAAGUAAACAUUUCUCUAUUUACACACCUUGCAUUCCAAAUUCACGAUCAAAAAUCCCACAUCAAAACACGCUCUUCCACAUCAUAAACCUCUCACACAAAACAUUUCCUUACACACAAGUUGUUUACGAGUUUCAAGUGGUCGCGUCACAAGACUCCCUCCAUGAGUAAAAACUACGCAGUAACGUGAAAAGAGAAGCAUGGACGUUCACCCACGCGCGUGGUAUUUAUUACGAAAAAAGAACACAGUGUACCGAGUUACGCGUGGACACUCAUUCUCAGAGUUUGUCUUCGUCGGAGUGCUCGGGACAGAAGGAUGAAAAGAAAAAGGGACGAGGCAAAAAGGCAGGAAAACAGCGUGGAACAAUAACGGUGCACGUUUAUCCUCGGACGACAGAGCACGCGAUGGAUUCCUUUGUAAGUGGACGUCCCCCACCAUCUUGGAAAGCCACUUAAACGCGCCUGCGCAGUUGCAACAUAUGCGUGCACAUACCCAUGGGGAACAUGGACAUCUGCGCGGGAACAGCUGCAAUUGGCGAACGAUCAGUCUGGAUGCAAAGCAUUCCCUGUGGCUAAUUCAAUUUCGAUAACUCAAAUUUGAAGCCCAAUAAUAAAUUUUACAUACUCCAAGCCUUUGAUUUCACCUCCAUCCAUUGCGUCAUUCCGAAUUAAAACAAUCUCCAUUGAACAAAUCAAAAGAAAAGGAAAACCAAGUACUCCAAAGUAGCCGAUCUCGAAAGCGAGAAUUAACGAGCGAUCUCGAAAUCGUGAGGGUUGUCUUAAUUAGAUCGCGACUCCGUCUUCGUCGGUGUUCUUUUUCAAACUCGAGGGCACACGCUGUUGGAAAUCGUUGAAACGAUGCAGAAAUAACGAGAACCGGAAAGGAGAGAGAAAGAAAGAGAAAGAGGAGUUUGAAGUGCAUGGUGGGCCCUCGACCGAUCAAAGCAGAUUCGCAAAGUUGGCCCAAAGAACAAGGAAUACCGAGUGGCUCUCCUCUCGUCGAAUGUAUCAACGAUCAAAGGGUUAAUACGCGUUGGAAACUCCUUUUUUUCCGUUCUCAAAAGGAUUAAUGCAGUUGUUUUGCAAAAUUUUCGUGAUCGAGAAAGAAAAUUAAAAAGUUUAUUGAAAGAAGAAAAUUUUGUAAGAAAUUUAAUAUAUUUUUAAUCAAUAAUUGAAAAGAAAUUGGAAGAAUAAUGGUUAAUAGAUUUUUUCAAGUAAAAAUUUUUUUGUGAAAUAAAAUUCAUGAUUUAUACCGAAUACUAAAAUUUUAUCAAAAAUAAUAGAAAAUGCAGAGAAUCGCAAUAAAAUGGAUGCGACACCUACGCGUGGCUUUUAGUAACCGGAAUAAAAAACGGUAAAUGGUUCUCCAAAAAUAACCCUUACAGUUCUUUUAAGCAGUCUAUAAGACACUUCUUAUAUACGUCUUCGUGCAAAAUUCAUGAGUGCACUUUUAUCUUUCUCAUUCAUAGAAUCCUUACAAAAAAAAAAAGACCAUACGAACCGAGUAAACAAAGUGAAAUAAAAAUAAAAAAUUGCUAUUGCUCAAGAUUUCUGGAUUUAAGUCCAAUAAAAAUUUUAUUGCAACGUUUCAUCAAUAAACACUGCAUUGAGAUCUUCAAACGAUUGCAAUUACAUAAUAAACCUAAGUCUUACGAUAACCUUAACCUUUUGAGAUCUAUAAUUAAAUAUAAAUAAAUAUGAAUAUAUAUAGCUUGCAAUAAAAAUAUACUUCGCAACAAAGUAUAAAGGAGUAAUGAUAUUAUUACAAUCCAACUACAAUAAUCUAUCCGAAUAGGUAAUCUAAACAUAAAAUUUGUUGAAAUUUUAUCUAAACAGACUAAACGUUGAACUUACUAGAAUAAAAUCUAUGCGCAAUCACAUUGAAAAUUGAAUUUUCGAUACAAAAAAAGAAAGAAAGAAAAAACAACAAUGGCGUGCUUUUUAACGUGGCAAGAAGAAGGAAAGAUUUCGAAUAAAAUUUCAAAAAGGAGAAGGAAAAAGAUAAAGGAGCGAAAACUCGAGGUGGAAAAGUCGCGGCCGCAGGCCACUGAGGUCGGCUCGAAAGCACUAAAAAUCCACGCAACAGGUCGUUCUGUUUAGCCGAGGAUCGAGACUAUGCGUUUGUGUCUUCGCCACGCACGUGUUUCCCCUUCCGUCUCGUCUUUGCACGCACGUGUAUCCUCCCACGCACGGAAGUAACCCGUUCCUUGCUCGCCAGUAUAACGAGACACGAAGAGAGGAACAUUGCAAUUCGCAGCUUUGGCUGCUCGAUUCAGUUUCAACCUUAUCAUUUAUAUUCUUCCUCAUCCGGAAACUUUAACUACGUGAUAUUUUAAUAUUUUAAAAUAUUUUAUGUAUAAUAUUUUAUAAAUACUCGGAAGAUUAUUUAUUUUGAAAUCGAUCGAGUUUCUACCAUCUUAAAUAACAUUCUUACUUUCCCAAAAUUAAAAAUAUGUUUCAACUGUGUGCGGUCUUAAUUAUCUUAAAACGAGGUAAAAAUAUUGAAAGAGCAGGAAUACCUCGUUAAUCAGAGAAGUAAGUUGUAAAUUAAUCAGGCUUAUAGGAGCGAUGUUAAUUGCGGCAUGUUGUACCUUGAUGUAAUUAGCUUGGAAGCUCACCUGGACACGCCCAGUGCACCCGGACCAGCGAGAUCAAUUUAGCGUGUGACGUAUAGAUUAUUGCGCGCCUAUGCAACAACGGUUGAUGGUACUCCUCUGUCUCUUCACAAUGCAAACCGUGUGCUUUCGGUGUUCCGAAGCCACUUCCGUUUAACGAGAGGCAUCGAUGAGGGAAACGGAGAGGAGCAAACCAGUUCAGAAAACGUUGAGAAGCGGUAUCGCACGGUAUAUCCCUCCUCUCGGCUAAGGGAAUUUCAAGCUCGGCAGUCUGGCUGGCUCGAAGCGGAUCCACCGGUCUGGAAGGAGGAAGGUCUGCUGGUUUCCCGAUGGAACGGUCCUCUCUCUCUCUCUCCUCGUCCCAGACAUUGGAUAUCUUUGUCUUUAGCCACGGAGGAUCUCGCCAAGGUGUUUCAAAGGAAACAUUAUUCUAACAUGCCCGUUUCGUUCGCCGCCAGUCGGCCUGAUGGAAGUGGAGCAUAUCCUAGCAAUGGAAUAAGAUCGGGUGUGUAAAUAUUUAGAGGCGGAGAGAGCGUUGGUAGAUUUUCCUGAAAAUUUCAUCGUUUUCCCUUCGGAAAUUAGAGGUCCAAUUACGUACAACUAAUGCAUUAUUUCCCUUAUUACCAAAACCCACACGUCAGAAAGAAGAAUCAUUCGACAUGAACGCGUACAAUCAAUUCCAAAUACCCGUUUUCAAAUCCUCUGAAAAUCCCCCGAUUCAAAAUUUCUAAAAAAACGACCGCCAGAUCCAGAAGUGGAAGAAAAGGCGAUAUCCCAGAAGACCAGAGUGCCCCUCCCUUGUCCAAUUACCGGGAAACGGGAAGCUGAGCGGUAAUCGGUGUAUCAUAAGCGCGGGGGAGGAAGGGGUGACGGAGAUAAAGAUAGAUCGCGGGUAUCGGUGUCCGGCAUAAAGGUUCCAAUUAACGGUUACACGCGCGAUACGCGUGUUUGAAGCUGCGUCGAGCGACAACGGGGACACACCGUCGGCCAUUAGGCCUGCGUAACGACGGACCAGAGGGUUGGUACCUCGGUUUGCAGUGAAUGCGCGCGCCCAAAGGGGACGAGGUUUGCGCCGUGCAUACACAGACGAUAAACAACCGGCCCCGUAUAAGGCCUGUACAAACUUGUCAGCGUGGUUGACGAUGAUUUACGAGCGGACUCUCGUUUGAAAGGAACGUGGUGGUGGUGGAGGAGGGCUCCGUAUGAAAUUCUAGCGCUUUCCGCGAUCGAGAAACGCGCGCCGGUAAUUAUCCGGAAAGAGGGGGAUCCUCCAUCUUUUGAAGCGUGGAGACGAGAUUUCGAAUAAGUUUUUCGGCUCUGAGUAAGGUAUAUCGUAGUUUGGAUAUGGAUAUUUGGAAAUUGAAGUUCGUAUGUAUAAGUCGAAGUAGAAGAAUAAUAGAAAAUUUGUAAUUUUUUGGAACUUGGAUCCUUCGUGCACGGAAAAAAAGAAAAAUUGGUCCGAAAUUUCGUGGAGAGAUGUAGCCCUUUGUUUUAAUUAUCGCGAUCAUUUUCGACUGCGGUCGAUUCGUCGAAAGGAUUCGUUCUCGAUGGAGAACAAUGAGCAUUUGUGUUGGAAGCAAGCGAUGAUGAAAAGGGAAUGGGCGAGAGGGAGUAUGUAUGGAAUAUGAUUUGGUGCAUGGGAAUUGUAAAUGGAGGCUGGGAACGUUGGGGGUUGGUUAAUGAUGUUGGGGAUGUGAUAGACUUUGGGAGAAAGUAAUAUCGGCCAAGUGAAAAUAGAAGUAUUAGAUUACAAAUAGAGAAUGCCAAUUUUACGAAUAAAAGCGAUCGAUAAGAAAAUGUUAAAAAAUAUCCGUUAACUUGUAACUUUUGAAGAAGAGAAAUUCUUUGAAAUGCAUUUAACGAGUGAUCAUCGUGGAAUUGUUAUUAUUUUUACGAUAAGAAAUACGAGUAUUUUUGAUAUACAAUCCAAGUACAACAAUAUACGAUUUGUUGAAAUAAAAUCGUCGUCCAAACGGAUUAACCACUCGACUGAUCCAUCUGCAAUCACAUUGAACGUAGGACAGCAAAAGGAUUAAAGAGUGUAUCUGGGAAUUUUCCUUCGUAUCCGGAAUACAAACAAUCUCAAUCGUUGGCCAAACAAUUCUUCGGUUCAAUUCGAACUUGGAACAGAGAAACUUAAAACCGAUCACGAAUCGAGUUAACCGAACACUUAAUCGUGAAAAAAAGGAGAGAAAAGAAGAGAUGAAUUCGCUUUGAAUUCAAUUUGAUAGCUCGCAUAAUUACGACUGCAUCGAUCCGAUCGGGGAAACGGUAUUUCGAAAAAAAAAAUAAAGAAGAAAAAACGUGACGAGGCGUUACGCACCAAGUGUGCCAAGUACAAAAUAUGCGUGCAAUCCGCGUUUAUGCACGUCGAAUCGAAGUCACGGUACGAUGGGAGACAUCGAUGGGAAACAGUUUGGACAUUGUUGGCCAGCCAACAACGUCCCGUGUACAAAUAUGCUCUCAGAUCUGUUCGGAUCAUGGUGCCAUAAAACCUCGAACUUUCAUUCGAUUCUUUCAUGGAUUUAACGGAAAGUAUUAUUCAGUAAUUUCAAAUCAGAUGUUGACUUACUUAAAAGUGUAGAAAGAAAUUUUAAAUUCUCUCUGAAAAUUCAAAAUUCUUUCGAAGGAUGAUCAGUUGUUAUUAUAAAAAAAAAUAUCAAUAAGUUUUUUAUAACAGAAAUAUGAAAUUCGUUGAACCCCGUACACUCAUCUCCACGAUAUCACGUCGAUAUCAAAUCGAUAUCCUCGAUAUUACGGAGAAAUAUCGAUUUCUUGAUACGUAGAAAAAACAAUUGUAGAAGCGAAAACAAGCUCGUGAUGGACGAGCCAUUCAAAAUCAUCGCGAAAAAUAUUCGUCAAGGGUUGAUACAUUAAUACUUGGUUUGCUUUGUUAUCGUAAAAUGGGCGGAUAGAUUCGAUUGAAAGUUCUCCAGUUUUCCACGUUCGGGGCGCGAACGUUCGCAGGACGGGAUCGAAGGCAAUUGUCUCCAGUUAGAUCGGACAGUAAUAGGAUUUUAGCGAUCGGAUACAUCCAACAUCUUGUCACGACUGUCCCCCGCCUUGAACGGCUCGUCUAGUCGAAUGUUAUCGACAGCUCGAAGGGAUGGCUUGAUGCCCUGCACAGCCUUCGACCUGUCGGAUUCAUCGUAGUGGCGAAAUGAAACAAUCCGUGAAACGAAUCCGUGCGAUGAGACUUUACCUCGGCCCACGAACUAUGUCCACUCGAUUCGAGGGAAGGCAAAGUGCCUAUUGAAAUUUUAGUAUGGAAAUCUGCUCGAUGGAAAUUGUUUUCGUUCCAAGAAAUUAUAUUUUCGAUUAAAAACAAUAAUUUGUUUCAAAUUUCGCUGUCGACGCCAAUUCCACAAUUAUUUACUAGAAGAUACUACGCGAGAAAAACCAAUAUUUCCAAAAUAUUUAAAUUUCAAACCGUCUCUCUCCUUAAAUUAUAUCCAGAAAAAAAAAAAGAAGAAAAGAAAGAAGAAAGAAAAUAUGUUUUAACCACCCCUAAUAUACGUAAUACCAUCCCCACCACGCAAAAAAUCGAAACUAGUUUGCACAAAGUUCGUUCACCCGUGCGGGUUCUAUCAUCUAUUUAUCGCGAAAGAGAAAGAGGAAAAAAGAAAAAAAAGGAGAAAAGAUAAGUUUCACGGUAAAAAAAAAAAAAAAGGAAAAAAAGAAAAAAAAACAAGUUGAGCCGGUCGAGCUCCAGCUGGCAACGUCUCGGCCAAAAUCGAUAACGCGAUGAUAAGCCGCUUUGCGGCUGGUUUCUUGCCAGGCCACCUUCUGCCGCAGUUUCCAUCGUCGAUCCUCCACGUUGCGCUUUUCGUGCCAUUGUACCCUUUGUCUCCUCCGCGCCGCUCACGAUCGAGGAACAACCCUCGUCGUGUCGUGCGGGGGUGGCGCGUGCCUCGACUAGGGAAAGAGAGCGACGAUUAAACGGCGUGACGUUCGUUGAUCGACAAAGUAUUAUUCGAGAAUUAUCUUUACAUUUUUGUCGCCAGAUGUUCAAUUUUGUGGCACAUUUUCGUUCAAAUUUCGCAUAAUAUGCAAUUGGUCGCGAAUAUUCGUGAUGUAAAAAUUAUGCAACGAUAGGAAAGAAACUUGAUUGAAUUUUGUACGUGUAAUUGAUUAUAUCAAAAAAUUUAAAAUAACGAACGAAGUGAAGUGGUUUUUAAAUUUGUAAAUUUGAAAAAAGUGCAAUAAUCCAAUUAUUGAAUUAUUGAACUAAAAAGGAUCUUCCUAAAAAGAAUUAAUUCAAACAACAAUUCGCUUGUUGUUAGAUUUUGACAGAAUAACAUUCCCGCAAGCAAUGCUGCUAAAAAUAUCUUUCCUACAAUAAUCCUGACUAACGAUAAUCUUCUCCCCCAAAAACACGAAUAAUUUCUCCGAAAUCCAAUUCCAAAUCUCGCGCUUCCAAAUUACUCCAUGACUCACAUCUCCAAGAACCACCGUCUCACCACCCCAAAUCCAUCCCGAUCGAUUCGACCGAACACAUCCCUCCCCCAACAAGAAAAGAGCCCAUUAAUUAUUCUUCUCCAAAGUUGUUGGAACACACCCCUCCCCCCCAAUAAGAAAACUCUGGAGGAGGAGAAAAACAUCUGGCAAGGGGUGGCGAUUCUUCUUUCCAACCCACUUGAAAUUAAAAGGUAAACGGAACGCGAAGAAUUAAAAGCGGGCAGAAUCCACCCCCUUCCAGCCGAUCGAUCCAUCCCCUUCCCACUAUCACCGCCCUUCUCUCGCAGCCACCACCACCACCAUCACGAUUCGCAACAACUUAUUACGGAUCCACGUGAGAACAGGCUGUGAUCGGGACAAGGGCUCGAGAGACAACGAACGAGUUGCUCUGUCGAGGCUGGUCGUGGGUGGGUCGUUCAUCCCUCAAGAUUUGGAGAAAAUUCCCAAGUGGAGAGGAAGCAUUGAUUAAACGCUGGCCGUUGGGGGUUGAAUGGUGGAUGGUCGAGGGAUGCUGUGCGGAGAUGGUUUAAGGGCGAGUACGAGGGUUCUUCGCACCAAUUUCGAUGUAAGAAGGGUAAAGUUUGGAGAGUUUUUCGGUUGAGGUCGAGUCUAAGAAUUUUGGAAAAAUUUUGGAAGAAGAUCUUUUAUAUAUAUAUAUAUUUUUUAACUUGGACUUGUUUUUCCAAUUUUUGAUAAGCACGAUACGAUGAUGCGAAUUUUUGAUUCAUGGAUGAUUUAAGGAAAAGGUUUCUCGAAACGAAGAUUUUCGAUAAUUCAUUAAAUUCGUUCCAACAAUGAUAACGAUAAUAAAGAAGAGAAGAAAAAUAUAAUUUUCCCUCCAAACUUUUCUUUUCCCAAGAAGCAUUUAUCUUUGUUACCCUAUAUCAUUUCACGAUUGCUCGUGACAUCCACUACCAAAGCCGAAAAAAACCCGCAAAUGGGAAAAUAGACGGAAAUCUACACACGAUAUCGAUACAAACUAUACCAGAAAUCAAGCGUUGUGGAAUUCCAAAUUCGAUUAUCGGGGAAUUUCGAUUGAAUUCAAAGUUUUACGGUCCGUCAAAUUCAAACUGUAUCAAAAAAAAAAAAAAAACACAAGAGAGAGGGGAAAAAAGAGGAAAGAGAAAAGGAAAAUAUAAACAGAAAAAAAAUACCACUCGACCAUGCUUCUGAAUGGUAAAACAAAAAAAUUUCGAUCUCAACGUGCUGCAUACAGUAACUCGUUAAUAUUAAUAUUUGGACGCGUUGUGUGCCAAGGAUUAAUUAUUGCGAAAUAUUCUUUACAGUUGAAUAGAAAUAUAAAUUUUAUCCACUUAAUCCUCAUAGUUCUUUUCGAAUGAAAAGGAUUAAAUAAUCAAGAGAAUCGAAUAUUGCAAUAAUAUUUAAACGAUAAUGAACAACAACACGUUUGUGCAACUCUUAAUGGAUAUAGGGAAAAAAAAAACAAAACAAAAUUUAAAAGCAAAAGGAUUAAACGAAAUUACUUACUCGCACGGAAACGUUGUUACGAACGAAUACGAAUCAUCGCAAAAAAAAAGAGAGACGUCCAAAUACUCGACACGAAUCAUUUACGAUUUCAACGAACGAUUUUUACACACUUUGCGCGCGAGAAAACAAAAACAAAAACCUCGUCGAUAUUGCGCACAGUAAUUCGCGACAGUGAGGGGAGAACGCGCGAGGAAAAACCUCGUCGCUAACGAAAACGAUUCGAGAACGAAUCGUGCGCGGCUCGAGGGGGUAUUUUUCGAGCGGUCGCGCGCCAUUAUCGCCCCUCUCCCCUCCCCUCCCUGCUGUAACCAUGGGUGGAUGGAUGGACGGCCACCACCGACCAUAUUCCUAUUAAUAACCUCGCCCCUUGUCCCCCGAUUUUUUCGAAAAACCGCGGGAAACGAUUCGCCGGAUCGGAAAUAAAUCGGCUCGGCUCGUUCGAAGAUUUUUUAAUCCCGGUUGUCGCGCGACCCUCCAUCGCUCUCCUUCCUAUCUCGCGUCUCUGUCCCGCCACGGAUCGAUCGAGAGAGGGAAAAGAGAAUCGUUGAGGGACGAAAAUGAUCGACUUAUGAAUUGAGUUAAUUGAUUCGAAUUUACUCUUUUCUUUUUCUUUUUUUUUUUUUUUUCGAAAAUUGAUCACGGAUGUGGGGAGAGGAAAUUAACCGGAUUUCCGAAUUUCUGAAUGCGAAAGUUUCGACAUUGGCCUUCCCUCUCUCUCUCUCUCUGUCUCCCUUUCUCUCCCGUGAAAACUGGUUGUGAACUGGUUUCGAGCAUCGAGGCGAAUCGAUGUUCGCCCCUUUGUUUUCUUCGAAUCGUUGUUCCGUAUUCAUUUGAAAAUCAUUUGAAAAAUCCCAGUUUGGAAUAACCGGAGGAGGAAAGGCAAAUGGAGGAAAGGUAAAUUGAUUUUUAUUAUUAUCGUUUGCGACAUUUGCGUUGAAGAAAAAAUAGUCGAUCGUUUGUGUCGAAACGAUUGUUAGAAUAUCGGUAUUUAUAGUUACGAAAUUUCGAUUGUUUCUUGGCUAGAAUUUAUUUCUAAAUAUUUCAGAAAGUAUAAUAAUACACAUUUUCAGAUUGUCGAAAGGAAAAAGGAUUAUUGGAUAUAAUUUCUAAUACUAAAAUGCUAAAACGAUUAAAACAAUAUCAUAUAUAUAUAUAUAUAUACAUAAUGGUUGAUAUUCGUAAGAUCUGGUUAAUAAUCGAAAUUACACGGAUUACAGGAAUUCUAGCAGUUCACAAUGGAAUUUAAUAUUCCAAUUUCUAUUAAUAUAAUUUUCAUCAGAUUACAAACUGCAUCCCAUACAAAACAAUUAUGUCACUA